GCCUUCAUGGUGUAGUGGUCAACACGCUCGACGCGUAUUCGAGAGGUCCUAGGUUCGAGUCCCAGCGAGGGCA
rnacentral:tRNA from 1 species